rnacentral:rRNA from 1 species
AUUGAACGCUGGCGGCAUGCCUUACACAUGCAAGUCGAACGGCAGCACGGGAGCAAUCCUGGUGGCGAGUGGCGAACGGGUGAGUAAUAUAUCGGAACGUGCCCAGUCGUGGGGCAUAACGCAGCGAAAGCUGUGCUAAUACCGCAUACGAUCUAAGGAUGAAAGCGGGGGAGCGCAAGACCGCGCGCGAUUGGAGCGGCCGAUAUCAGAUUAGCUAGUGGGUGGGGUAAAGGCCCACCAAGGCGACGAUCUGUAGCUGGUCUGAGGGGACGACCAGCCACACUGGAACUGAGACACGGUCCAGACUCCUACGGGAGGCAGCAGUAGGGAAUUUUGGACAAUGGGCGCAAGCCUGAUCCAGCAAUGCCGCGUGCAGGAUGAAGGCCUUCGGGUUGUAAACUGCUUUUGUACGGAACGAAACGGCCCUUUCUAAUACAGGGGGCUAAUGACGGUACCGUAAGAAUAAGCACCGGCUAACUACGUGCCAGCAGCCGCCGCAGUAA